rfam:Corynebacterium riegelii strain PTDD_83A45 genome.
CUGUCCCGCGGUAGCAGAUGUGCGACGGAGUCCGCCGCGGAGGCAGUCUUCUUGAAGAAGUCCAUCGCACCGCAUUCCUUGUGGAUGCGGCCCGAGAACGGGAGAGAACGCUGAGCGUUACAAC